rnacentral:rRNA from 1 species
AGUGAACGCUGGCGGUAGGCCUAACACAUGCAAGUCGAACGGCAGCACAGUAAGAGCUUGCUCUUACGGGUGGCGAGUGGCGGACGGGUGAGGAAUACAUCGGAAUCUACUUUUUCGUGGGGGAUAACGUAGGGAAACUUACGCUAAUACCGCAUACGACCUACGGGUGAAAGCAGGGGAUCUUCGGACCUUGCGCGAUUGAAUGAGCCGAUGUCGGAUUAGCUAGUUGGCGGGGUAAAGGCCCACCAAGGCGACGAUCCGUAGCUGGUCUGAGAGGAUGAUCAGCCACACUAGAGCUGAGACACGGUCCAGACUCCUACGGGAGGCAGCAGUGGGGAAUAUUGGACAAUGGGCGCAAGCCUGAUCCAGCCAUACCGCGUGGGUGAAGAAGGCCUUCGGGUUGUAAAGCCCUUUUGUUGGGAAAGAAAAGCAGCAGGUUAAUACCCCGCUGUUCUGACGGUACCCAAAGAAUAAGCACCGGCUAACUUCGUG